GGGCGUUAAGUUGCAGGGUAUAGACCCGAAACCCGGUGAUCUAGCCAUGGGCAGGUUGAAGGUUGGGUAACACUAACUGGAGGACCGAACCGACUAAUGUUGAAAAAUUAGCGGAUGACCUGUGGCUGGGGGUGAAAGGCCAAUCAAACCGGGAGAUAGCUGGUUCUCCCCGAAAGCUAUUUAGGUAGCGCCUCGUGAAUUCAUCUCCGGGGGUAGAGCACUGUUUCGGCUAGGGGGCCAUCCCGGCUUACCAACCCGAUGCAAACUGCGAAUACCGGAGAAUGUUAUCACGGGAGACACACGGCGGGUGCUAACGUCCGUCGUGAAGAGGGAAACAACCCAGACCGCCAGCUAAGGUCCCAAAGUCAUGGUUAAGUGGGAAACGAUGUGGGAAGGCCCAGACAGCCAGGAUGUUGGCUUAGAAGCAGCCAUCAUUUAAAGAAAGCGUAAUAGCUCACUGGUCGAGUCGGCCUGCGCGGAAGAUGUAACGGGGCUAAACCAUGCACCGAAGCUGCGGCAGCGACGCUGAUGCGUUGUUGGGUAGGGGAGCGUUCUGUAAGCCUGCGAAGGUGGCCUGUGAGGGUUGCUGGAGGUAUCAGAAGUGCGAAUGCUGACAUAAGUAACGAUAAAGCGGGUGAAAAGCCCGCUCGCCGGAAGACCAAGGGUUCCUGUCCAACGUUAAUCGGGGCAGGGUGAGUCGACCCCUAAGGCGAGGCCGAAAGGCGUAGUCGAUGGGAAACGGGUUAAUAUUCCCGUACUUGGUGUUACUGCGAAGGGGGGACGGAGAAGGCUAUGUUGGCCGGGCGACGGUUGUCCCGGUUUAAGCGUGUAGGCUGGUUUUCCAGGCAAAUCCGGAAAAUCAAGGCUGAGGCGUAACGACGAGGCACUACGGUGCUGAAGCAACAAAUGCCCUGCUUCCAGGAAAAGCCUCUAAGCAUCAGGUAACAUCAAAUCGUACCCCAAACCGACACAGGUGGUCAGGUAGAGAAUACCAAGGCGCUUGA
rnacentral:rRNA from 1 species